rnacentral:rRNA from 1 species
AUCCAGACUUUGAUUAUGCUCAGGGAUGAACGCUGGCGGCGUGCUUAACACAUGCAAGUCGAACGAAGCACUCUAUUUGAUUUUCUUCGGAAAUGAAGAUUUUGUGACUGAGUGGCGGACGGGUGAGUAACGCGUGGGUAACCUGCCUCAUACAGGGGGAUAACAGUUGGAAACGACUGCUAAUACCGCAUAAGCGCACAGGACCGCAUGGUCCGGUGUGAAAAACUCCGGUGGUAUGGGAUGGACCCGCGUCUGAUUAGCCAGUUGGCAGGGUAACGGCCUACCAAAGCGACGAUCAGUAGCCGACCUGAGAGGGUGACCGGCCACAUUGGGACUGAGACACGGCCCAAACUCCUACGGGAGGCAGCAGUGGGGAAUAUUGCACAAUGGGGGAAACCCUGAUGCAGCGACGCCGCGUGAGCGAAGAAGUAUUUCGGUAUGUAAAGCUCUAUCAGCAGGGAAGAAGAAUGACGGUACCUGACUAAGAAGCACCGGCUAAAUACGUGCCAGCAGCCGCGGUAAUACGUAUGGUGCAAGCGUUAUCCGGAUUUACUGGGUGUAAAGGGAGCGCAGGCGGUGCGGCAAGUCUGAUGUGAAGGCCCGGGGCUCAACCCCGGUACUGCAUUGGAAACUGUCGUACUAGAGUGUCGGAGGGGUAAGUGGAAUUCCUAGUGUAGCGGUGAAAUGCGUAGAUAUUAGGAGGAACACCAGUGGCGAAGGCGGCUUACUGGACGAUAACUGACGCUGAGGCUCGAAAGCGUGGGGAGCAAACAGGAUUAGAUACCCUGGUAGUCCAUGCCGUAAACGAUGAAUACUAGGUGUCGGGGAGCAUUGCUCUUCGGUGCCGCAGCAAACGCAAUAAGUAUUCCACCUGGGGAGCACGUUC